GGAAAUUUGAAAACUACCGUUGGAUCGAGAAAUGGACGUCCGAGAUUCGUCCACGUCACCAUGAGUUAAAAUUUAACUCCCAUUUUAACUCAUGGUGACGUGGACGAAUCUCGGACGUCCAUUUCUUGAUCCACCGGUAGUUUCCAAGUUUUC
rnacentral:pre_miRNA from 1 species